rnacentral:rRNA from 1 species
GUUAAGUGGGAAACGAUGUGGGAAGGCCCAGACAGCCAGGAUGUUGGCUUAGAAGCAGCCAUCAUUUAAAGAAAGCGUAAUAGCUCACUGGUCGAGUCGGCCUGCGCGGAAGAUGUAACGGGGCUAAACCAUGCACCGAAGCUGCGGCAGCGACACUGUGUGUUGUUGGGUAGGGGAGCGUUCUGUAAGCCUGUGAAGGUGGCCUGUGAGGGUUGCUGGAGGUAUCAGAAGUGCGAAUGCUGACAUAAGUAACGAUAAAGCGGGUGAAAAGCCCGCUCGCCGGAAGACCAAGGGUUCCUGUCCAACGUUAAUCGGGGCAGGGUGAGUCGACCCCUAAGGCGAGGCCGAAAGGCGUAGUCGAUGGGAAACGGGUUAAUAUUCCCGUACUUGGUGUUACUGCGAAGGGGGGACGGAGAAGGCUAUGUUGGCCGGGCGACGGUUGUCCCGGUUUAAGCGUGUAGGUGUGUGUUCCAGGUAAAUCCGGUUCACUUUAACACUGAGGCGUGACGACGAGGCACUACGGUGCUGAAGCAACAAAUGCCCUGCUUCCAGGAAAAGCCUCUAAGCAUCAGGUAACAUCAAAUCGUACCCCAAACCGACACAGGUGGUCAGGUAGAGAAUACCAAGGCGCUUGAGAGAACUCGGGUGAAGGAACUAGGCAAAAUGGUGCCGUAACUUCGGGAGAAGGCACGCUGACACGUAGGUGAAGUGAUUUACUCAUGGAGCUGAAGUCAGUCGAAGAUACCAGCUGGCUGCAACUGUUUAUUAAAAACACAGCACUGUGCAAACACGAAAGUGGACGUAUACGGUGUGACGCCUGCCCGGUGCCGGAAGGUUAAUUGAUGGGGUCAGCGCAAGCGAAGCUCCUGAUCGAAGCCCCGGUAAACGGCGGCCGUAACUAUAACGGUCCUAAGGUAGCGAAAUUCCUUGUCGGGUAAGUUCCGACCUGCACGAAUGGCGUAAUGAUGGCCAGGCUGUCUCCACCCGAGACUCAGUGAAAUUGAACUCGCUGUGAAGAUGCAGUGUACCCGCGGCAAGACGGAAAGACCCCGUGAACCUUUACUAUAGCUUGACACUGAACAUUGAGCCUUGAUGUGUAGGAUAGGUGGGAGGCUUUGAAGUGUGGACGCCAGUCUGCAUGGAGCCGACCUUGAAAUACCACCCUUUAAUGUUUGAUGUUCUAACGUGGACCCGUAAUCCGGGUUGCGGACAGUGUCUGGUGGGUAGUUUGACUGGGGCGGUCUCCUCCUAAAGAGUAACGGAGGAGCACGAAGGUUGGCUAAUCCUGGUCGGACAUCAGGAGGUUAGUGCAAUGGCAUAAGCCAGCUUGACUGCGAGCGUGACGGCGCGAGCAGGUGCGAAAGCAGGUCAUAGUGAUCCGGUGGUUCUGAAUGGAAGGGCCAUCGCUCAACGGAUAAAAGGUACUCCGGGGAUAACAGGCUGAUACCGCCCAAGAGUUCAUAUCGACGGCGGUGUUUGGCACCUCGAUGUCGGCUCAUCACAUCCUGGGGCUGAAGUAGGUCCCAAGGGUAUGGCUGUUCGCCAUUUAAAGUGGUACGCGAGCUGGGUUUAGAACGUCGUGAGACAGUUCGGUCCCUAUCUGCCGUGGGCGCUGGAGAACUGAGGGGGGCUGCUCCUAGUACGAGAGGACCGGAGUGGACGCAUCACUGGUGUUCGGGUUGUCAUGCCAAUGGCACUGCCCGGUAGCUAAAUGCGGAAGAGAUAAGUGCUGAAAGCAUCUAAGCACGAAACUUGCCCCGA